UUUCCGUAGGUGAACCUGCGGAAGGAUCAUUAAUGAAAAACAGGAUGCUCUUUUUAGAGGUCCGAACCUUCAUUCCUUCACACUGUGCACAAACUAUUUUUACAUCUUUUACGCAAAAGUCAAUGAAUGUAUCAGCUCUUGAUUGAGUAUAAACUAUCACAACUUUCGGCAACGGAUCUCUUGGCUCCCGCAUCGUGAAGAACGCAGC
rnacentral:misc_RNA from 1 species